rnacentral:rRNA from 1 species
GGACCAGACUCCUACGGGAGGCAGCAGUGAGGAAUAUUGGUCAAUGGGAGAGAUCCUGAACCAGCCAAGCCGCGUGAGGGAAGACGGCCCUAUGGGUUGUAAACCUCUUUUGUCGGAGAACAAAACCCGGGACGUGUCCCGGACUGCGUGUAUCCGAAGAAAAAGCAUCGGCUAACUCCGUGCCAGCAGCCGCGGUAAUACGGAGGAUGCGAGCGUUAUCCGGAUUUAUUGGGUUUAAAGGGUGCGCAGGCGGAAGAUCAAGUCAGCGGUAAAAUUGAGAGGCUCAACCUCUUCGAGCCGUUGAAACUGGUUUUCUUGAGUGAGCGAGAAGUAUGCGGAAUGCGUGGUGUAGCGGUGAAAUGCAUAGAUAUCACGCAGAACUCCGAUUGCGAAGGCAGCAUACCGGCGCUCAACUGACGCUCAUGCACGAAAGCGUGGGUAUCGAACAGGAUUAGAUACCCCCGUACGC